CCCUGUCUAUCUACACAGAGGUGUUCUAGACAUCAUGAUAUAACCCUGUCUAUCUACACAGAGGUGUUCUAGACAUCAUGAUAUAACCCUGUCUAUCUACACAGAGGUGUUAUAGACAUCAUGAUAUAACCCUGUCUAUCUACACAGAGGUGUUAUAGACAUCAUGAUAUAACCCUGUCUAUCUACACAGAGGUGUUAUAGACAUCAUGAUAUAACCCUGUCUAUCUACACAGAGGUGUUAUAGACAUCAUGAUAUAACCCUGUCUAUCUACACAGAGGUGUUCUAGACAUCAUGAUAUAACCCUGUCUAUCUACACAGAGGUGUUAUAGACAUCAUGAUAUAACCCUGUCUAUCUACACAGAGGUGUUCUAGACAUCAUGAUAUAACCCUGUCUAUCUACACAGAGGUGUUAUAGACAUCAUGAUAUAACCCUGUCUAUCUACACAGAGGUGUUAUAGACAUCAUGAUAUAACCCUGUCUAUCUACACAGAGGUGUUAUAGACAUCAUGAUAUAACCCUGUCUAUCUACACAGAGGUGUUAUAGACAUCAUGAUAUAACCCUGUCUAUCUACACAGAGGUGUUAUAGACGUUGUUUUUAACAUAUAGCUCUUCUGUUCUGAUUCCUAUAUAAACACAACGUGUGUUAGCCAAACAUGGGACCGUGUUCAGCGACAGCACUCUCCCCAAUAAUAGUUCAUCUCAAACACAUUCCACUGAGAGAAGUGCAGUGUGACUUUUAUUUUUGUCAUAAUAUGUCUGGUGCUGUUUUUCAUUCUGGAAACUCCCGACCCAGUGCUGGUUCGAGAUGGCUUUGUUAAAGGAAACUCAACACCUGCUGUAAGGGAACAGAGGGUUUUCCCACCACCUCUCUCUCAAUUUCAAUUUCAAUGUAAGGGCUUUAUUGGCAUGGGAAACGUAUGUUAACAUUGACAAAGCAAGUGAAAUAGAUAAUAAACAAAAGUGAAAUAAAAAAAAAAAAAAAUUAACAGUAAACAUUACACUCACAGACGUUCCAAAAUAAUAAAGACGUUUCAAAUUAUGUUUAUGUCAUAUUAUGUCUAUAUCGAGUGUUGUCACGAUUUACAAAUAGUUAAAGUACAAAAGGGAAAAUAAAUAAAUAUGGGUUGUAUUUACACACACACACACACACACACACACACACACACACACACACACACACACACACACACACACACACACACACACACACACACACACACACACACACACACACACACACACACACACACACA